rnacentral:rRNA from 1 species
CCCCUAGAUGUUCUGGGCCGCACGCGCGCUACACUGAACAGUUCAACAAGUCUUAACCUUGGCCGAUAGGUCUGGGUAAUCUUUGAACGCUGUUCGUGAUUGGGAUAGACCUUUGCAAUUAUGGGUCUUCAACGAGGAAUUCCUAGUAAACGCAAGUCAUCAGCUUGCAUUGAUUACGUCCCUGCCCUUUGUACACACCGCCCGUCGCACCUACCGAUUGAAUAAUCCGGUGAAAUCUCGGGACGGCGGCUUGGUCGCUUGCGUCCGACUGCUGAAACUUGAUUAAACCAUAUCAUUUAGAGGAAGGUGAAGUCGUAACA